CGGGGAAUCUUGGACAAUGGGGGCAACUCUGAUCCAGCGAUGCCGCGUGUGUGAAGACGGCCUGCGGGUUGUAAAGCACCUUAGGGGGGGAAGAAGGACGUGGAGUGAAUACCUUCAUGUUUUGACGUUACCCCUAGAAUAAGCACCGGCUAACUCUGUGCCAGCAGCCGCGGUAAUACAGAGGGUGCAAGCGUUAAUCGGAGUGACUGGGCGUAAAGCGCACGUAGGUGGUUGAAUGCGUCUGAUGUGAAAGACCUGGGCUUAACCUGGGAACGGCGUCGGAAACGGUUCGGCUAGAGUCGAAGAGAGGGCAGUGGAAUUUCCGGUGUAGCGGUGAAAUGCGUAGAGAUCGGAAGGAACAUCAGUGGCGAAGGCGACUGCCUGGCUUCAGACUGACACUGAGGAGCGAAAGCGUGGGGAGCAAACAGGAUUAGAUACCCUGGUAGUCCACGCUGUAAACGAUGACAACUGGCUGUGUGCGGGGGCGACCCUGUGCGUAGCGUAGCUAACGCGUUAAGUUGUCCGCCUGGGGAGUACGGCCGCAAGGCUA
rnacentral:rRNA from 1 species